rnacentral:rRNA from 1 species
GACGAACGCUGGCGGCGUGCUUAACACAUGCAAGUCGAACGGAAAGGCCCUGCUUUUGUGGGGUGCUCGAGUGGCGAACGGGUGAGUAACACGUGAGUAACCUGCCCUUGACUUUGGGAUAACUUCAGGAAACUGGGGCUAAUACCGGCUAGGAGCUCCUGCUGCAUGGUGGGGGUUGGAAAGUUUCGGCGGUUGGGGAUGGACUCGCGGCUUAUCAGCUUGUUGGUGGGGUAGUGGCUUACCAAGGCUUUGACGGGUAGCCGGCCUGAGAGGGUGGACGGCCACAUUGGGACUGAGAUACGGCCCAGACUCCUACGGGAGGCAGCAGUGGGGAAUAUUGCACAAUGGGCGGAAGCCUGAUGCAGCAACGCCGCGUGCGGGAUGCCGGCCUUCGGGUUGUAAACCGCUUUCGCCUGUGACGAAGCGUGAGUGACGGUAAUGGGUAAAGAAGCACCGGCUAACUACGUG